rfam:Oryza sativa Indica Group cultivar 93-11 Ctg035746, whole genome shotgun sequence.
CAAAAUCUAAAUUAUGAGUUUCCGUGUCUAAUUUUGAUCGUCCGUCCUAUUUAUAAAAAAAUAAAAAUAAUAAAAAACAUAAGUCACGUAUAAAAUAUUGUUCAUGUUUUAUCAUUUAAUAAUAAUAAAAACUACUAAUCAUAAAUAAAUUUUAAAUAAAACGGAUGAUCAAAAUUGGACACGGAAACUCAUGACUGCGCUGAAA